rnacentral:tRNA from 1 species
UGGGGCGUCGCCAAGUGGUAAGGCAGUGGAUUUUGAUUCCACCAUUCGGAGGUUCGAUCCCUCCCGCCCCAGCCA